rnacentral:rRNA from 1 species
UACGUAGGGUGCGAGCGUUAAUCGGAAUUACUGGGCGUAAAGUGUGCGCAGGCGGCGCUGCAAGUCGAGUGUGAAAUCCCCGAGCUUAACUUGGGAAUUGCGCUCGAAACUACGGCGCUGGAGUAUGGCAGAGGAAGGUGGAAUUCCACGUGUAGCGGUGAAAUGCGUAGAGAUGUGGAGGAACACCGAUGGCGAAGGCAGCCUUCUGGGCCAAUACUGACGCUCAUGCACGAAAGCUAGGGGAGCGAACAGG